AUGCUCGAUGAGACAACAACAGAAACUGAAAGAGCGAAAUUCAAAACAAUGCACAACAUUGUGCAUAUCGACGAAAAAUGGUUCUAUAUGACAAAGAAAAAUAGAAACUAUUAUCUGUUGAAUGAGGAAGAAGAGCCUACGAGAAGUAUACAAAGUGGCAGUUGUAUUGGAAAGAUCAUGUUCUUCACGGCCGUUGCUAGGCCAAGGUGGGACAGUGAAGGAAAUGUGACCUUCUCUGGGAAAAUUGGUAUUUGGCCGUUUGUGAAUGAAGUUCCCGCUCAGAGGAGAAGCGACAACAGGCCCAGAGGAACAAUGGAGACCAAGUCCAUAAAAGUCAAUCGGCAAGUAAUGAGAGAGUUCAUGAUAGAGAACUUACUGCCGGCAAUACAAGCAGCUUGCCUUGAGAAUGAUGCUGGACAAACCAUCUACAUACAACAAGACAACGCUAAGCCCCAAAUAUUGCCUAAUGAUCCAGAAUUUGUAGCAGCUGUCGAAAGAAUUGGACUGGACAUAAAAAUAAUCCAAUAA
rnacentral:rRNA from 1 species